AGGUCCUUCCUUUUUAAUAUCACUUUCUCAUUAGCAGAGUAAUAUCCCUAUUAAAAAGAUAAUUUUUAAAUUUUAAUAUGUUUUAAUCACUCUUUUGUACAUUCCCAGUUGCAGCAGCUGCUCAAGUUUGUGUUUGAUCAUUUAGGAGAUCAAAUUCUAAUUAUCUUUCAGCUCUCUGCCUUCCUACUCUGUCUCAUAUCUGUGCUUGAGAUUCUGGAGGCAAACGAGAGAGAUACUUAAAUAGAAACAAAAUCAUGGGCAGAGAGGGAGUUAUCAGCUCACUUUUGGGAGCUCACUUUCAGACUUUUCAAUAUCAGUAAAUUAAGUCAAAGAACUACUCAUGAAAUAGUGACUUCAGAGUCCUGGAAAACUUAUUUUCCUUACAAUCCUUUACUCUCAACUUCAGGAGCAGAAAAUAGAACCAGAAAUCUGCCCCUUUAUCAUUAGAGUAUACAGGAAACUACACUGAGUCCAUUUGCAAAGGUUCAGUCUGUGCCAUGAUACCAUUGAAAAAUCAUACAACUACUUUAAAACAAUAAUUGCGUAUCAUUUGCUUCAUCAUGUUAUGAUUGGUCAUAUCUGGCAAAUGUUAUUAGAGCAGAGCAAACCCGUGAGUAAACUCAGCCCAGUGAGUGGACCAUAUAAUUCAGAAAAGAUGGUAACAGGUUCAGAAUUCUAUAUCAAUAAGAGAAGUUCAACAGGAAAUCAUGAGUAGGUCUCCUAACAGAAGGGUGGGCAGAGUAGCAAGGAAACUGGUCUGUGACCAUGACCACAUGUCUGAAAUAGGAAGGCACACAUGUCUGAAAUAGGAAGGCAUCUUUCUCCCCUGUAUUCUUUUGCUUGAAAUAUUAAAACCUGGCCAGAUGUCAAAAUCCAUUCUGGCUGGGUAUGUCAGUGUGGACCUAGCCAGUAGGCUUGAAGGAGGAAAAAGUCUUAUUUAAUGAGUAGACUGUGGCACAGAGUAAACAGAGGUAUUAGAAAAGGUUGAUCCUGUUAAUUUCAUCACAAUUGGGGCACAGCAGGGUCCCAGCACCGGCACCCUCCCCUCUUCCCCAUCUACCCUAUAACAGCUCUUUUUUGUAGGAUGAGGGUAGAGAGAAAAGCCACAUGUUUUCUAUAUUCUACGCCUGGUAAAUAGAACUUGUGGUGUUUUCCUAUCCAAUAGAGAGUUUAAAAAGUGCAUUAUUUCCUGUAAUGCCUGCAUGAGAUUGUCAUUAUUUCUCUCAGAGGGCACCAUGCUGUGUAAUACGUAGACAAACAUCAGCAGCCCAAAAUGCAUGAAAAUUUUUUAGAUGAGAAAAUCAAUAUGAUGGAUCCAGUUGGGCAGAGGAAAUGUGCUGUUUCUGAUUUCCCUUUAAUCCAUUAUAUUUUCAACUAGUAGAAAAAGAAGUCACAGAUAGCAAUGGGAGAAGUUAAGAAAAAAAUAUUUUUUCUUGUAUCAGCUCUUCUAUAUUUUCUCUUAUAUGUUGAUACCAAUUACCUGUGGUAUAGUCAUUGGUAACAUGCUUAGGAGCUGACAAAACCUAAUCAUUUUUUGAGCUUCUUGGCCCAUUACAUAUGAAAUCUCACCAGUUCAAACCUGCGUUCAUUGCAAUCAAUAUUCAUUGAGCACUUAUCAUGUGCCAAAUUAUGUGCUUCUUGACUCAUUUCUGGCUUCAGAGUAAAACAGUGUCAUGCAAAUAUUAGAAAUAAUCUGAAUAUUAUGAAGUAUUCAUGAAAGAUUUUUAUAUUUUUAUUAUUUUUCCUUUAAUAACUGAUACCUGGGUUAAAUUUUUAUUAAUUUAACUUUGAAAAUCACUUUAUUUUAAAAUUAGAAGACCUUCAGUAUAAUUCCUAAGAUAUAAUUGCAAUGGAUUUGAUAAUUAUAAGUGUAAUAAAUAGCAUUCAAUAUAUAGUACUGAAAGAUUAUAGUUUUUGUCUACUUCUACAAAGAAUUUGAGGUAAUUUAUUGUUUUUUGAAACUUCUGUAAAUAUAAUUAGAAACUAUAUAAAGAAGUUAAAGUAAUUUACUCUUUUUUAAAACUUGUGUGAAUAUAAUUAGAAACUGUUCAAAAGACCUAUCAACAGCUAAUUAAUAGGAGACAGAAUUUAGAGGUGCCAGGGAUGUUUUUAUGGCCGAUGAACAGUUAAUUCAAAAUGUCUAGAAAGUAGCAUGAUAGCCUAUAUUGUCCACAUUGUUAGCUAAAAUAUAUAUAUUUAAUAACAAUAAUAAUGAAUGUAUACCCUACUUACCAUAUAGCUAAUGGUAAUACUAAUAUAAACACUUUGCAUAUAUAUUAACGUUCUUACGACUCUAAGGUUCAAUAUAUGGUUACUAACCCAAUUUUGCAGGUGAGUAAAUUCAAAUUAAGUACCUAGGUCCAUCUGGGAAGGGACAGAGCUGGGACACCACCCUAGCAGUUUGAUUUCAGUGUCUGUGCUUAUAAACCCUCCCUCAAAUUAAGUUUAUGCCUAUAUUAUGGAUAAUUUUUAGUAUUAUGAAUAAUACUCUUUAAUUCUUAUAAUUUAAUUUUGUUCCCAAAAUUAAGAUACUCUUCAGAUCAAUGUUUUCUUAUGUUGUCCCUCUGUGAACCAUUAAGGUAUAGCUAUUUUAACUUGUUGAAAUGAAUACAUUAUCUUUAUUUCUAUAGACCCUGGAAAAAUUGAUGAUUUCCUGUUGUCAACUGGCUUGUUAAAAAUCCUUGAUUUUUUUUCUUCUUUUUUCUCCAACAUGCCCAUAUUCCAUCCCCCUAAAAUAAGUGACUGUCUUUGAUGCCAUAAUUGCCCCAAGGCUCUGAUUUCUGAAUGCCCUCAUUCAUUCAUUUGAGGAAUAUCUGUUGUGUGUUUCAUUUAUCUAGGCACUGGGCUUGGUGCUGGGGAAACAAUGGGCAUCAAGACCAGCAAACGUGAUUAUUGUUCUUAAGAAGCGUGUGUUUUCAAGGGAGAGACAUGUGGUCAAUCACUAGUACGAGAUCAAUUAUUUCUUGGCAAUCAUAGAAGUCCUAGGAGAUUAUAAAGCCAGACAACUUGAUAUAGUAGGGAAUUUGUGAUGCCCUCUUUGAGGAAGUAAUAUUCAAACUGAGAAGUACAUGAGAAAAACAACAAUUGGAAAUUUGCAAUUUGGGAAAUCACAGAGGAUCAUGAAACUUCAUUAAAUCCUCAAAACAGAUAUUGCUUGGUUUCUCCUUCCAGAUGUCCCUUCUCGGAUCAUGGUGCAUUAAUAUGUAGUGGGUGGUGUCUUCCAGGCAUAGUUUCUAGAAUGAAACUCUGCUUACCCCAGUCUGAAUUGAUGUGAGGCCCGCUUGCUCAGAAUGUGGCUAAAGCUUGGGCCUUUGAAAAACCAGUUUCCAAAUUUUUUCUAGAUUUGGCCCAUUUCCAUCUACAUGAGGAAGAUCAAUCUUUCUUAACCCCAUGGAGUCCUCUUUUCUCUCCACUUCUGUGGAAAUGACAGAUUUUGAAGCUGACUUCUGAAACUGACUAUCUUCUUUCUUGACCCUCACCUUGGGUGAAGUUCAACUUGUAACCUAUUCUUUUUGAAUCUCUUCGAGUAUGAGGCGCCAUCAUUUCCGGAGCCCCCUCAUUUCUGGAGCCUGCUUGCCGGUUGUCUUGCUCUCAGAGUUCCAAGUUGGUUACUUCUCUUUUUGUUCAGAGGAAAGCCUAAUGAAUUUGUAUCUCAGAAAGGCUGCUAAGCCAGAAGCCAUUUGUAAGGGAGAGAGGAUGACUGUCUUAGGCUGUUAAAUCAUCUGUCUGAUCCUUUACAGCUCAAGUUUUCACUCUCAAUGAACUGCCAAAUUUUUCUCUAACACCCCAUGUGGGUGUUCCUACUCACAGGAGUUAGCUUUUACAACCAGCUUUAAGUGAAAGAGAUGUCCUCAACUCACCAGAGUGCCUUUCCCUCAUAAUGCUGCAGGGCUCAGGGCCUAUCUUAGGCAAGUCUUUUCCUCAGAUGGGUUUUUCUCCAUGACACCUACUUGGACCGUGUAGUGCAACAACCUACGGGGACCAUGCUAUGCAGUGUCACAGCUACAUCCGCUCCCAUUCCCAGGCACUUUCUCUCAACUAACCCAGCUCUGCUUUUUCUUUUAUUCCAUAGUUCACAGCACCUUCUGAUGUACUAUAAAUGGUCCUUAUUUAUUACAGCAAUUGUUUAUUGUCUGUCUUCUGAUGCUAGAGUGUAAACUCCAUGUGGUGGAUGUUUUCUGUUUGUUGAUGACAUAUCAAUUGCCAUAAAUAUGUCAAUCGACAAGUUCUGGCUGGAUGGUUGAAUAUAGCAUGCAGAAGAUGUUUCAAGCAUAAUUCUUCAGUAGAAGAAUAACUAAAAGUUUUUUAUAUUUGCAUAUUUUUUAUUGAAGUAUACUUGAUUUACAGUGAUAUAUUAGUUUCAAGUGUACAGCAAAGAAAAAAAUAUAUACUUUUUCUUUGUAGAUUAUUACAAAAUAUUGAGUAUAGGUCCCUGUGCUAUGCAAUACGUCCUUGCUGGUUAUCUAUUUUAUAUAUAGUAGCGUAUCUGUUAAUGUCAAACUCUUUUUUUUUUCUUUUUUUUUUGCUUCUUAGGGCCCCAUACCCAUGGCACAUGGAAGUUUCCAUGCUGGGGGUCGAAUCAGAGCUACAGCUGCCAGCCUACACCACAGUCACAGCAAUGAGGAAUUCAAGCUGUGUCUGCAACCUACACCAUAGCUCUUAGAAAUGCCAGAUCCUUAACCCACUGAGUGAGGCCAGAGAUCGAACCAACAUCCUCAUGGAUACUAGUCAGAUUUGUUUCCGCUGCACCACAACGGGAACUUCUCAA
ensembl:lncRNA